rnacentral:rRNA from 1 species
CCAGCAUCGGUUCUGGGGGGGGCAUAAAGGCCGCAGGAACGUAGCUCUUCGGAGUGUUAUAGCCUGUGGUGUAAUACCCCCGCCGGGACCGAGGACCGCGCAUUGCAAGGAUGCUGGCGUAAUGGUCAUCAGCGA